GGCUGUAAAAUUCAAAGCAAUCACAUUACUAUGGCACAAAUAUUUCAAGUAAAAAUGAAGGUUUGAAAAACAAAGUCACAUCUGACUUAAUAAGUGCAUGUUCUUCUUCAGUUAAUUUGAUUGGUAACUUCAUUGUGUUCCUGCAUUUAGUACAAACACAGUGCAAAUACAAAAGGAGAGGGGAAAGUGGAUUAAUUGUUCUUCAUUAUCAUAAAUAAUAUGAAAGAAAAGCAGAUGGCCAAUGUAGUUUGUGAGUCAGUUCUUAACUAUUUUGUCUCUAAAAAUUUCUUGCAGUGUUUGUAUGCAGAAGUUCUUGUUGAUGCUGUGACUUUAAACAGUUUGUCUUUUUGACCCUGUCUCCAAAGUGCUGGAUCAUGUGUUUCUUGACUGUCCUUGCUGAAGUCUGAGAGAACUACUGAAGAACUACUUUAGUUCUUUAUACAACUCUGUCAAAUCUACUGAAGUACAACCCCUCACUGUUAUGGGCAGAAUCUCAGAAUACUGCAUGGAUCUGUUUAAGUACUGCACGUUUUCUCACCACCACUUUGCACUGCAGUGGAGCUUCACGAAAUACUGAUCAGGAGAAGUUGCUUCAUGCUUCCCCAGAUGAAGAUGAAGAAUUAAUGAAGAAUAAAAUUAGCCAAACUCUGGCCUGUCAGCAUUUCCAGAUGUGUUACCUGUGAUCCUGUCUUAAUGUAAAGUCUUUACAGGCAGUUGACUGCCUUUUAUCAUAAACCUUCCAAUAAAGAAGGCUUUUCUACCUUAACUCUGUCAUGUCAUAUUCAGAUUAUCUGCUGUUCUGAGUGAAAUCUUGUCAAAUAAAAGUUACAUGAAAAGUUUAGAAAAGUAUGUAUUAAAAUAGACACAGAGCUGAAGACAUCAUCUGUGCCCCAAGAUACUGUUAGGAAUUGUCUUCCAGGGCUGAGAAUGAGGAGAGAACAGUAAAGGCAUGAAAGAGGAAAACAGAACAGAGCAGUGAACAGCUAUGUUAGUGUGUGCUCGUGUCCUAAACUCACGGGGGUGUUGGAAAAAUCCUGUAGAGUAGAAACUUACAGUACAGGAGAGUAGAAGUCAUAGGUUCACCUUUGUACUUUGCUGUCUCAGAAACAGCUGUAUAGUAGAAAACUGCCUGCAGUUCUACAGUCUGCUAAUAUCAGCCAAAACAGUAGCCAAGGAUCAGCUACAUACAGCAGCCCAAGAAGAUUCAAAGGAUUAUUUCCAGUGCAAGCUGAAACAUUGUCUAAACGGUGGACAGCACAAUAAUUGAAUUGAGAUCAUUGCAUAUAUCUGAUUGCAGAACACAACAAAUACAGUAAGUUAUCUACUACUUAUGUAAGAAAACCAAAGUACUAAAUGAAAAAAAACCCUACAGAAAGCUAUCUGGAAUACAAACAAAGGACAGCAACAAAUAGCUUGUGAAAUUCCUGACAGAGAAGAUCUGAAAUUUUUACAUAUAGUCCAUUAUGCAAAAGGAAGAAAGAGUAGGAAUGACUGUUUUAGAUCACUGCUGAUUACUCACAGAUGAUGAAGGGGAAAGAAACUGUGAAAUAAUGAUCUCUUCUUGGAUGAAUCAUAAGCAUUUCUUAAUUUAAACAAUAUAGUUAGAGAUCCUACCUGCUGGCUGUCUUCUGCAAACAGGCAUAACCACCCAUCUGCCCGGCUGAGUUGCAUUGAGGUGGCUAUUGUUACCAAUGCUGUUUGCUGCUGUUCACUUUUCCUGCUUGGGAAGAGGAAGACAACAGCAGAUUGCUCGACACACCUGUCCCUGUGAUGAUAAAAGUAAACAUUGCAAGUGUAUAAUGAUAUUGAUAGCUCUUCUCUGGGAUGAAAAUAAGCCCUGUGAAACAGCUGGAGAUGCAAAUAAUAAGCAUUUUUUCUGCAGCAGUGUUGGAGCACAGAGUUAUCAGAAAUAGACGACCUGCAGGAAAGGACUUCAGCUGCAAAGCAUUUUCUAAAUCAACUUUUCAAAUUAUUGCAAUAACUUGGAUGUUGAGUAACUGCAUCAAUAUCUAAGGCUUCAGUCUCUUUGAGCAGAGACAAGCACUUUCCAUAGCUACAGCAAUCUUGAACAGAUUUCCCAGAGCACAUGGGCAAAGUGCUCUUUUAAUGAUUUAGGUUUCCAAACACUUUUCUUCACUGAUAGCUUUGAAUUUUCAUGCACACCACAUCAGCCUUAAAAGUGAAUGCAUUUAAGGAAUUUAUUCUGUAUAUAGAGUACAAAAGUUGCAUCACCAUGCUUCCUCAGGUAACUUGCUUCUGGGGCUUUCCUGAUGUAUAUCAGAUCUCAUUUGGUAUAUAUUAUUGCAGCUCGGUUGACUACUGUGAAUCAAACCCACUUUGAAGAAGCCAAAAAAAGAUACACCCAAGCUUUUCAACUUUUUUAAUGAUCAUAAUACUGUGUUUCUUUGAAUAUUUUUGUUCUUCACUAUUAAAAUAAGUGGCGUGACUCCUGUAUUGUGUGCACUGGGGCUUUGAGUUUUUUAGCAUAAUUAGAUGUAUGCCAUAAAUACACAGUGUCCUCAAUACAGAUUGUGCUAUUUUUAUAGGCUUUAAGUUUGUCUUUCUUCUGCGUGUCUGGAUUCCUAUGUGCUUCGUUUCUAAAACUUUUGGAAGAUGUAUCUCUGACAUGUUCUUUUGGUUAGAAUACGAAAUGGCAUAAAACAGUCAGAUACUCAAAUUUGAUCUGUUCAAGAGAACAGCAGAUUUUUUUUCUCUCAUGAUGACCUGUGUAAUUAUUCUGGCUUGCUUUAAAAUUUCCUUAUAUAUCCAUGUAUCACUAUUUUUUAACUACCCAUGUUUCUGUUGAUGCUUACAUUUCUGGGAAUAUAAUUGUGUUAAAUUCCAUUACAUCACAAUCAUAAAAAGUUCUUUCUCUUUGGUCUUUUUUUACAACAGUGACAGUUGCUUGAAGUAUAAAAAUCUAAAAUUGAGCAAGACCUUAAUCAAUAAACAUUCUCAUAUAACUGAACCAGAUUGUAAUGUAUGGUGUUGAAAGCGCAGGCUAUUUUCCUCUGUA